UAGGGAAUCUUCCACAUNUGGGCGCAAGCCUGAUGGAGCAACACCGCGUGAGUGAAGAAGGGUUUCGGCUCGUAAAGCUCUGUUGUUAGAGAAGAAUGUGCGUGAGAGUAACUGUUCACGCAGUGACGGUAUCUAACCAGAAAGUCACGGCUAACUACGUGCCAGCAGCCGCGGUAAUACGUAGGUGGCAAGCGUUAUCCGGAUUUAUUGGGCGUAAAGCGAGCGCAGGCGGUUUGAUAAGUCUGAUGUGAAAGCCUUUGGCUUAACCAAAGAAGUGCAUCGGAAACUGUCAGACUUGAGUGCAGAAGAGGACAGUGGAACUCCAUGUGUAGCGGUGGAAUGCGUAGAUAUAUGGAAGAACACCAGUGGCGAAGGCGGCUGUCUGGUCUGCAACUGACGCUGAGGCUCGAAAGCAUGGGUAGCGAACAGGAUUAGAUACCCUGGUAGUCCAUGCCGUAAACGAUGAGUGCUAGGUGUUGGAGGGUUUCCGCCCUUCAGUGCCGCAGCUAACGCAUUAAGCACUCCGCCUGGGGAGUACGACCGCAAGGUUG
rnacentral:rRNA from 1 species